GACCCCGUAGCUCAGCAGGAUAGAGCAUCAGAUUCCUAAUCUGAGGGCCGCAGGUUCGAAUCCUGCCGGGGUCGCCA
rnacentral:tRNA from 1 species